rnacentral:tRNA from 1 species
GUCCAAGGAUGGGAAUCGAACCCACACUGUUCCGCUUACCGGGAAAAUGCAAUCUCCACUAGGCUACCCUGGA